UAUCAAUCAACUGGGCUUUAAAAUACUCGUACUGGUAGAUAAUAACACAUUACCAUAAUUUUCAUCAGACAAUCUGUUGAAUGAAUGAAAUCGUUAUCAAGAAUUGCGAUUUCUUGCAAUGCCAAUCGUAAAAUCAUGCUGAUGACACUUUAAAUGGAUUUCGAAGUAAUUGACAUUCAGGCGUACUUACAUAUGGUUUGCACAGAUACAAUGUGAUGUACAUAAAUGAAUUUUUAAAAUUAAUUAAUCUAUGAAUGCUGUUGAUAGUUCUUGUAACAACACAUUCCCCAAAUAAUUUCGCAAGAAUUGCGCGAUCUAGGAAUGA